AACGGGUGAGUAAUGCGCGACCAACCUGCCCCAUGCUCCAGAAUAGCUCUUGGAAACGGGUGGUAAUGCUGGAUGCUCCAACUUGACGCAUGUCUUGUUGGGAAAGUGUUUAGUGGCAUGGGAUGGGGUCGCGUCCUAUCAGCUUGUAGGCGGGGUAAUGGCCCACCUAGGCUUCGACGGGUAGCCGGCCUGAGAGGGCGGACGGCCACAUUGGGACUGAGAUACGGCCCAGACUCCUACGGGAGGCAGCAGGU
rnacentral:rRNA from 1 species